AGCACUAUUGAAGAGAGCAAGUCAGGGGAGACAUUCCAGCUCAAUUCCAGCUCGGUUUCAUCAUGCUUACAACUACCAGUCAUUCUGAGAGGAGAUAGAAUCUCAUUGUGGCUUGUAUUUGCAUUUCUCUGGGCUAAAGAUGAAAUGAAAACAUAGACGUCGUCAUCAUGAAUAGUCCUCCUGAUCCUGAUUGUCACCGAAAAUAAUUCCCAAGACAGCUGAAGAGGCCUUCGGGUUCAGGCUCCGCCCAUCCAUCCAUCUGCCCCACCCUUCAUUCUUGCUUCGUUUCCAAAGAAGAGAAGGAAGAAGAGAGAAGGGAUUGAGCAGAGGCCUGGGCACGCAUGGGUCCCCUCUGGCAGUGGGCAGAGUCACAGGGCGGAAGCAAGUUGUCUUUCUUCCUGCCCAGCUUCAAAUGCAGCCGGAGAGAGGAGCUAGCUGGGAACUUGAACAUCUGCAGAAAGCCUGGAUACUUCCUUCUGUCUUUCUUCUCCCCUGUGGCAGUCAGGGCAGGGCUUCCUCUUUGCCUGUGCCUGAGCUUCUGGAUGGGGUCAGAGGCUGAGGACUGAAGGCUGCCCAGUGGUGGUGGUGACAAAGUCAGCACUUCCCUUUGUUAGCCUUUGGAUGCUGUGACAAAGCCCCAGAGACCUGACUUGGAGGAGCAAGGUCAAGGUUGGCUAGAUCCGUUGCUUUUAGGUAUGGGAUGAUGCUAAACAUCAGGACACCUGGACCAUCUGGUAGAGGAUGCUGCUGCCGUUGUGGUAGCUAGGAAACAGGAAGACAGAAGGAAGACAGGAGGCAAGAGCAUGCUCUCUGUGAUCGUCUUCUCCAAGCAGUCUGCAUCUCUGAGCUCCUAACACCUCCCCCUAGUGCUGUUGAAUGAUGGGUAUAUCCAUGCAACCACUGAUUAGGUCAGGGCCUCCAUGGCUUGCUCAUCUCUCAACAGUGUCACCAGCUAGGGUCUGCUCCUUCAAUACUGGGACCUUUCAGAGAGCAUACAUAGUGACCAUCUUAAUACCACCAAAACUUUGCUCUCAUUCCUUCUUGUCUCCAGAGUGCUUGAACCAAAGAGGCAUCAAGGAGUCAUUUCCUGUUACAUAGAAGGGCAUCAUAUUUCCUCAGGAUUUUUCUUUACCCUCAGCUAGUUUUGUAGGCAAAGAUAAUAGCCCUCUGUUUCAUUGAGUGCUUCGAUUUCUUUUUAUAUCAUAAGUAGGUUGCUGACACACUAUGUGUUGACUAAUCAUAUCUUUUCUUUUGUGAAUUACAUUCAUGGCUUUAGCUCACUUUGGAGUUUUAAGUUAGAUUUUAAUGUCUUCAAUAAAAAAUAUACUCAUCUGC
ensembl:lincRNA Platr7 pluripotency associated transcript 7